CUCUCUCUGAUAUGUGCAUGUGAAGCAUCUCCCUCUUCUUCCAUUAUUGGCAUUGGAAACUUCUGGAUUAUGUCCUUGACCAGGUUGGUGGUAGAGAGAAAGAAGUUGGAAGAAAUAAAGAAUUCUAGACUAUAAUAUUCCUAUUUGGAAGACACUCUCAGAUGUAACCAUUAUGACAUAGAGGUAGAGAAACAGAAACAGAGAGAUACACAGGCACUUCUGAGAGGACCCUCACACUGUG